UAUAUGGGCUGUAUUUACUACAUUAUAUAUACAUAUGGAAUGUGUAGUAUAUGUGUAUUAUUGUGUGUGUAUACGGUAUACCAUGU
ensembl:miRNA predicted gene, 25325